UACGUAGGGUGCAGGCGUUUAAUCGGAAUUACUGGGCGUAAAGCGUGCGCAGGCGGUUUCUUAAGUCAGAUGUGAAAGCCCCGGGCUUAACCUGGAACUGCGUUUGAAACUGGGAGACUUGAGUGUGGCAGAGGGGGUGGAAUUCCGACGUGUAGCAGUGAAAUGCGUAGAUAUGUGGAGGAACACCGAUGGCGAAGGCAGCCCCCUGGGUUAACACUGACGCUCAUGCACGAAAGCGUGGGGAGCAAACAGG
rnacentral:rRNA from 1 species